GACUCCAUGAAGCUGGAUUCGCUGUAAUCGCGCAUCAGCCACGGCGCGGUGAAUACGUUCCCGGGCCUUGUACACACCGCCCGUCAAGCCAUGGAAGCCGGGAGUGCCUGAAGUACGCGACCGCAAGGAGCGUCCUAAGGUAAAACCGGUGACUGGGGCUAAGUCGUAACAAGGUAGC
rnacentral:rRNA from 1 species